rnacentral:rRNA from 1 species
UACGUAGGGGGCAAGCGUUAUCCGGAUUUACUGGGUGUAAAGGGAGCGUAGACGGUUAUGUAAGUCUGGAGUGAAAGCCCGGGGCCCAACCCCGGGACUGCUCUGGAAACUAUGUGACUGGAGUGCCGGAGAGGUAAGUGGAAUUCCUAGUGUAGCGGUGAAAUGCGUAGAUAUUAGGAGGAACACCAGUGGCGAAGGCGGCUUACUGGACGGUAACUGACGCUGAGGCUCGAAAGCGUGGGGAGCAAACAGG